rnacentral:pre_miRNA from 1 species
AGUCGUUGUUUGCUGGCGUAGCAUCAUCAAGAUUCACAUUCCGAACUGGGAUCAUGAGAAUCUUGAUGAUGCUGCAUUGGCCAUAUACGACU